rnacentral:rRNA from 1 species
AUUGAACGCUGGCGGAAUGCUUUACACAUGCAAGUCGAACGGCGGCACGGGGCAACCUGGUGGCGAGUGGCGAACGGGUGAGUAAUGUAUCGGAACGUACCUUUCAGUGGGGGAUAACGUAGCGAAAGUUACGCUAAUACCGCAUAUUCUGUGAGCAGGAAAGCAGGGGAUCGCAAGACCUUGCGCUGAUUGAGCGGCCGAUAUCAGAUUAGCUAGUUGGUGGGGUAAAGGCCUACCAAGGCUACGAUCUGUAGCGGGUCUGAGAGGAUGAUCCGCCACACUGGAACUGAGACACGGUCCAGACUCCUACGGGAGGCAGCAGUGGGGAAUUUUGGACAAUGGGCGCAAGCCUGAUCCAGCCAUGCCGCGUGAGUGAAGAAGGCCCUCGGGUUGUAAAGCUCUUUUGUCCGGUAAAGAAAAGCGCCGGGUUAAUACCCUGGUGUCCUGACGGUACCGGAAGAAUAAGCACCGGCUAACUUCGUGCCAGCAGCCGCGGUAAUG